rnacentral:rRNA from 1 species
ACAGCAGCCGCCGCGGUAAUACGUAGGGUGCGAGCGUUAAUCGGAAUUACUGGGCGUAAAGCGUGCGCAGGCGGUUAUAUAAGACAGAUGUGAAAACCCCGGGCUCAACCUGGGACCUGCAUUUGUGACUGUAUAGCUAGAGCACGGUAGAGGGGGAUGGAAUUCCGCGUGUAGCAGUGGAAUGCGUAGAUAUGCGGAGGAACACCGAUGGCGAAGGCAAUCCCCUGGACCUGUACUGACGCUCAUGCACGAAAGCGUGGGGAGCAAACAGGAUUAGAUACCCCAGUAGUCCCUGUCUCUUAUAC